rnacentral:rRNA from 4 species
GAGUGAAAUAGAACCUGAAACCGUGUGCUUACAAGUAGUCAGAGCCCGUUAAUGGGUGAUGGCGUGCCUUUUGUAGAAUGAACCGGCGAGUUACGAUUUGAUGCAAGGUUAAGCAGUAAAUGUGGAGCCGUAGCGAAAGCGAGUCUGAAUAGGGCGUUUAGUAUUUGGUCGUAGACCCGAAACCAGGUGAUCUACCCUUGGUCAGGUUGAAGUUCAGGUAACACUGAAUGGAGGACCGAACCGACUUACGUUGAAAAGUGAGCGGAUGAACUGAGGGUAGCGGAGAAAUUCCAAUCGAACCUGGAGAUAGCUGGUUCUCUCCGAAAUAGCUUUAGGGCUAGCCUCAAGUGAUGAUUAUUGGAGGUAGAGCACUGUUUGGACGAGGGGCCCCUCUCGGGUUACCGAAUUCAGACAAACUCCGAAUGCCAAUUAAUUUAACUUGGGAGUCAGAACAUGGGUGAUAAGGUCCGUGUUCGAAAGGGAAACAGCCCAGACCACCAGCUAAGGUCCCAAAAUAUAUGUUAAGUGGAAAAGGAUGUGGCGUUGCCCAGACAACUAGGAUGUUGGCUUAGAAGCAGCCAUCAUUUAAAGAGUGCGUAAUAGCUCACUAGUCGAGUGACACUGCGCCGAAAAUGUACCGGGGCUAAACAUAUUACCGAAGCUGUGGAUUGUCCUUUGGACAAUGGUAGGAGAGCGUUCUAAGGGCGUUGAAGCAUGAUCGUAAGGACAUGUGGAGCGCUUAGAAGUGAGAAUGCCGGUGUGAGUAGCGAAAGACGGGUGAGAAUCCCGUCCACCGAUUGACUAAGGUUUCCAGAGGAAGGCUCGUCCGCUCUGGGUUAGUCGGGUCCUAAGCUGAGGCCGACAGGCGUAGGCGAUGGAUAACAGGUUGAUAUUCCUGUACCACCUAUAAUCGUUUUAAUCGAUGGGGGGACGCAGUAGGAUAGGCGAAGCGUGCGAUUGGAUUGCACGUCUAAGCAGUAAGGCUGAGUAUUAGGCAAAUCCGGUACUCGUUAAGGCUGAGCUGUGAUGGGGAGAAGACAUUGAGUCUUCGAGUCGUUGAUUUCACACUGCCGAGAAAAGCCUCUAGAUAGAAAAUAGGUGCCCGUACCGCAAACCGACACAGGUAGUCAAGAUGAGAAUUCUAAGGUGAGCGAGCGAACUCUCGUUAAGGAACUCGGCAAAAUGACCCCGUAACUUCGGGAGAAGGGGUGCUCUUUAGGGUUAACGCCCAGAAGAGCCGCAGUGAAUAGGCCCAAGCGACUGUUUAUCAAAAACACAGGUCUCUGCUAAACCGUAAGGUGAUGUAUAGGGGCUGACGCCUGCCCGGUGCUGGAAGGUUAAGAGGAGUGGUUAGCUUCUGCGAAGCUACGAAUCGAAGCCCCAGUAAACGGCGGCCGUAACUAUAACGGUCCUAAGGUAGCGAAAUUCCUUGUCGGGUAAGUUCCGACCCGCACGAAAGGCGUAACGAUUUGGGCACUGUCUCAACGAGAGACUCGGUGAAAUCAUAGUACCUGUGAAGAUGCAGGUUACCCGCGACAGGACGGAAAGACCCCGUGGAGCUUUACUGUAGCCUGAUAUUGAAAUUCGGCACAGCUUGUACAGGAUAGGUAGGAGCCUUUGAAACGUGAGCGCUAGCUUACGUGGAGG